AUGCCUUAAACUUAUGAGUAAGGAAAAUAAUGAUCUGGGGUGACACCUGGGUCCUCACUGCUAAGGUGAGAUGAAUUUUUGAAUGGGUACAGGUCGUCCCUAUGGUGACCCACCUACUUAGCGGGAUGCCUGGGUGCUUUGAUCUGCCCA